rnacentral:rRNA from 1 species
GACGAACGCUGGCGGCGUGCUCAACACAUGCAAGUCGAACGGUAAGGCCCUUCGGGGUACACGAGUGGCGAACGGGUGAGUAACACGUGGGUGAUCUGCCCUGCACUUCGGGAUAAGCCUGGGAAACUGGGUCUAAUACCGGAUAGGACCACUGCCUGCAUGGGUGGUGGUGGAAAGCUUUUGCGGUGUGGGAUGGGCCCGCGGCCUAUCAGCUUGUUGGUGGGGUGAUGGCCCACCGAGGCGACGACGGGUAGCCGGCCUGAGAGGGUGACCGGCCACACUGGGACGGAGAUACGGCGCAGACUCCGCCGGGAGGCAGCAGUGGGGAAUAUUGCACAAUGGGCGCAAGGCUGAUGCAGCGACGCCGCGUGAGGGAUGACGGCCUUCGGGUUGUAAACCUCUUUCAGCACCGACGAAGCGCAAGUGACGGUAGGUGCAGAAGAAGGACCGGCCAACUACGUGCCAGCCGCCGCUGUAA